CACUGUCGGACAUGCAAAGGUUCCCCGUCCGGGCCCGCCACGGGCCCGGGGAUGAAACGGGAAUGCGGUGCGGGCCGACCCUGACGGGGGCCCAAGGCCGCAGCCGCCCCCGCGACUGUAAGCGGCGAGCGGCCUGCCAACGGCCACUGGGGAGCGCCCCGGGAAGGCGGCAGGUGCGCAGCGACCCGCGAGCCAGGAGACCGGCCUUUAGCGACAUGCAACC
rnacentral:ncRNA from 2 species